rnacentral:rRNA from 1 species
AGGGUUUGAUUCUGGCUCAGGAUGAACGCUGGCGGCGUGCCUAACACAUGCAAGUCGAACGGUUAAGGCGCCUUCGGGCGCGAAUAGAGUGGCGAACGGGUGAGUAACACGUGACCAACCUGCCCCCCUCCCCGGGAUAACGCGAGGAAACCCGCGCUAAUACCGGAUACUCCGCCCCUCCCGCAUGGGAGGGGCGGGAAAGCCCCGACGGAGGGGGAUGGGGUCGCGGCCCAUUAGGUAGACGGCGGGGCAACGGCCCACCGUGCCUGCGAUGGGUAGCCGGGUUGAGAGACCGACCGGCCACAUUGGGACUGAGAUACGGCCCAG